UGCUAGUUGCACGAGUUGAGACUCGUAGCAGAUAGCUCAGUAACACGUGGCCAAACUGCCCUAUAGACGGCGAUAACCUCGGGAAACUGAGGCUAAUAGCCGAUACCGUUCACGACCUGGAGUGGUGUGAACGCGAAACGUUCAGGCGCUAUAGGAUGUGGCUGCGGCCGAUUAGGUAGACGGUGGGGUAACGGCCCACCGUGCCUAUAAUCGGUACGGGUUGUGAGAGCAAGAGCCCGGAGACGGUAUCUGAGACAAGAUACCGGGCCCUACGGGGCGCAGCAGGCGCGAAACCUUUACACUGCACGCGAGUGCGAUAAGGGGACUCCGAGUGCGAGGGCAUAUAGUCCUCGCUUUUCACCACCGUAAGGUGGUGGUGGAAUAAGUGCUGGGCAAGACCGGUGCCAGCCGCCGCGGUAAUACCGGCAGCACGAGUGAUGACCGCUAUUAUUGGGCCUAAAGCGUCCGUAGCUGGCCAUACAAGUCUAUCGGGAAAUCUGCGCGCUUAACGCGCAGGCGUCCGGUGGAAACUGUGUGGCUUGGGACCGGAAGACCAGAGGGGUACGUCCGGGGUAGGAGUGAAAUCCCGUAAUCCUGGACGGACCACCGGUGGCGAAAGCGCCUCUGGAAGACGGAUCCGACGGUGAGGGACGAAAGCUCGGGUCACGAACCGGAUUAGAUACCCGGGUAGUCCGAGCUGUAAACGAUGUCUGCUAGGUGUGGCACAGGCUACGAGCCUGUGCUGUGCCGUAGGGAAGCCGAGAAGCAGACCGCCUGGGAAGUACGUCCGCAAGGAUGAAACUUAAAGGAAUUGGCGGGGGAGCACUACAACCGGAGGAACCUGCGGUUUAAUUGGACUCAACGCCGGACAUCUCACCAGCAUCGACAAUGUGCAGUGAAAGUCAGAUUGAUGAUCUUACUGGAGCCAUUGAGAGGAGGUGCAUGGCCGCCUUCAGCUCGUACCGUGAGGCGUCCUGUUAAGUCAGGCAACGAGCGAGACCCGCACUCUUAAUUGCCAGCAACACCUUUGCGGUGGUUGGGUACAUUAGGAGGACUGCCAGUGCCAACUGCAGGAAGGACGGGCAACGGUU
rnacentral:rRNA from 1 species